rnacentral:rRNA from 1 species
GUCUAUGGCCAUACCACCCUGAACACGCCCGAUCUCGUCUGAUCUCGGAAGCUAAGCAGGGUAGGGCCUGGUUAGUACUUGGAUGGGAAGAGUGUGUGUAUUUAUU